rnacentral:lncRNA from 1 species
AGAAAGACCUCAGGUGGAAUUCUGUCCCGGAAACAGAUCCUUCCUCUUACUGGAACCCGCCGGCUAGAUGCCAAGUUUUUUACUUUUUACAACAUGCCCAUCCUUUUACUUGAACUCACCGAGGACGCGAAUAAAACAAAGAGGAUUCAAUAUAAGCCUCAGUGUGCGUUAUAAUAAGCGCUUAUUACUGAGAGAGAUCAGAUUCUCAAGGCUGAAUUGAUGGAGAAACCACAGCAGCACUCCCAGCUCCUGUCCAGGUUUGUCCCCACCAAGCAGAAGGAUGUGCUCCGCUUCACGAUCGAUGCCUUCCUCUUCCAGAAGAAGCUGUCCAGGAAGCAUGAAGUGACUGAGCUGUACAUGCACUGUGUCAUGUCUCUGGCUCCUGCUAAAGCAACACCAGGGACCAAGUCCUGCACCUACAACAGGGAGGCUAAGAGGUGGGAGGAGCUGUAUGGUGACCAUGAGGUCUGUACCUGCUGUGAGUCCAGGUGUACUUUCCAACAGAAUGAAGGUACCAGGAGCCUGGUGACCAGCAGUCGGGUGUCUGUGGCACCAGUAGAGGGUCCUCUGGGUGUGGAAGGUGACUGGACUGAGGAUGAGGAGGGAGACCCUCAGGGCUCCAGUGAAGAUGCUGAGAGCACCAGUGA